ACUAAUCUGGCAGAUAAUAUGUGAUAGACUUAGAAUCUAUUUAUGAGAGAAGUUCUCGGUUAGUA
rnacentral:tRNA from 1 species